AAGAUUAAAAUAUUUUUAAUCUAAAUCAUGCAUGCAUAAAAAUACAAAACCACAAGGAUCUAGUUCGUGUGUUGAAAUUGACAUAUGCUGAAAUUCAGAUUGUGAUCAAAUCGCAUACCUGUUUCGUAAUCUUUUUCUUCAAAUCUGAAUCUGAAAGAGAAGAGAUUUUCUUCUAGCCACACAAGUGUCUAGUCUCUAUUGAUAUCCACUCAGGAUCAGUCU
rnacentral:lncRNA from 1 species